rnacentral:rRNA from 1 species
GAGUUUGAUCCUGGCUCAGGACGAACGCUGGCGGCGUGCCUAACACAUGCAAGUCGAGCGAAGUUUUUAAAGAAGAUUUCUUCGGAAUGAAACUUUAAUUAUCUUAGCGGCGGACGGGUGAGUAACGCGUGAGAAACCUGCCUUUUACAAAGGGAUAGCCUCGGGAAACUGGGAUUAAUACCUUAUGACACUUAAAUGUCGCAUGAGAUUUAAGUCAAAGCGUAAAGCGGUAAAAGAUGGUCUCGCGUCCCAUUAGUUAGUUGGUGAGGUAAAGGCUCACCAAGACAGCGAUGGGUAGCCGGCCUGAGAGGGUGAACGGCCACACUGGAACUGAGACACGGUCCAGACUCCUACGGGAGGCAGCAGUGGGGAAUAUUGCACAAUGGAGGAAACUCUGAUGCAGCGACGCCGCGUGAACGAUGAAGGCUUUCGGGUCGUAAAGUUCUGUCCUAAGGGACGAUAAUGACGGUACCUUAGGAGGAAGCCCCGGCUAACUACGUGCCAGCAGCCGCGGUAAU